rnacentral:rRNA from 1 species
UGCCAGCAGCCGCGGUAAUACGGAGGGUGCAAGCGUUAAUCGGAAUUACUGGGCGUAAAGGGCUUGUAGGUGGAUAUGUAAGUCAGAUGUGAAAGUCCAGGGCUCAACCUUGGAAGUGCAUUUGAGACUGCGGAUCUAGAGUAUGAUAGAGGGUAGAGGAAUUUCCGGUGUAGCGGUGAAAUGCGUAGAGAUCGGAAGGAACAUCAGUGGCGAAGGCGUCUACCUGGAUUAAUACUGACACUGAGAAGCGAAAGCGUGGGUAGCAAACAGGAUUAGAUA